AGUUCUCCUGUUUCUGCACUUCUCACCUCUCUCUCUGAAGUUCUCUGUCCUAUUUUCCGUCCUUUCACUCUGAUCCCUCACUUCUUUCACCUUCCUAGGAAGCCAUUUUCCUCUCUUAUCCUCCUUGGGGGUCCCCCAGAUCUCCGGUUUUCUAUCUCCAGCAGGGCGGACAAGGAGGUCUAGUAUUUGCUGCUUCUGCUUGCGCUCCUCCAGCGACUUUGGCUCGCAGGCGCCCCCGUGUGGCCAACAUGGAGUACUGGAUGGCGGCGAGGGUGAGCGCCCAAGCAAGACAUGCUGGGGUGUAGCACGAGACAUUCAGAGGUGGUGCGACCUACGCCAAAUGUGAGGGCACGCCUCAGAGGUGGUGUGGAACGCCAGGAGAUGACGUGUGACUGUGUGACAAGGGGGGAAGAGGGGGAGGAGAAGGAGGAUUCAUUAUUGCAGGGAUUGGACUCAGAGAAACAGACCCAGGGCAUGGAGACAGGUGGUGCCUAGGAGGAGGAGGCGGUCCUGAGGGGCUGCACCCCAGGGGAGGGGGCGGGGCUGGGAAUGGGAUCUGCAGCUGCCUCUGUCAAGCCUCUGUCAACCGCCAGCCAUCCCAGCCCUGAGCUGCAACAGCCAUGUCCAACAACAUGGCCAAGAUCGCUGAGGCCCGCAAGACGGUGGAGCAACUGAAGCUGGAGGUGAACAUCGAUCGCAUGAAGGUGUCGCAGGCGGCAGCGGAGCUAUUGGCUUUCUGCGAAACGCACGCUAAGGAUGACCCACUGGUGACUCCUGUCCCUGCCGCCGAGAAUCCCUUCCGCGACAAACGACUCUUUUGCACCCUGCUCUGAGCCCCCAAGAUAGUUUUAUCCUCCCGCGCAGAAAUAUGAAUCCAAUAAACUUGGUGACUUGGUGGUGCCUGCACUUUAGGGGAAAAUGAGGCACGGGCAAAAACGUGGGGGCCACCUUUGUGGGGA
rnacentral:lncRNA from 1 species